AGAGUUUGAUCAUGGCUCAGAUUGAACGCUGGCGGCAGGCCUAACACAUGCAAGUCGAGCGGUAGCACAAGAGAGCUUACUCUCUGGGUGACGAGCGGCGGACGGGUGAGUAAUGUCUGGGGAACUGCCUGAUGGAGGGGGAUAACUACUGGAAACGGUAGCUAAUACCGCAUAACGUCUUCGGACCAAAGUGGGGGACCUUCGGGCCUCACGCCAUCAGAUGUGCCCAGAUGGGAUUAGCUAGUAGGUGGGGUAAUGGCUCACCUAGGCGACGAUCCCUAGCUGGUCUGAGAGGAUGACCAGCCACACUGGAACUGAGACACGGUCCAGACUCCUACGGGAGGCAGCAGUGGGGAAUAUUGCACAAUGGGCGCAAGCCUGAUGCAGCCAUGCCGCGUGUGUGAAGAAGGCCUUCGGGUUGUAAAGCACUUUCAGCGAGGAGGAAGGGUAGUGUGUUAAUAGCACAUUGCAUUGACGUUACUCGCAGAAGAAGCACCGGCUAACUCCGUGCCAGCAGCCGCGGUAAUACGGAGGGUGCAAGCGUUAAUCGGAAUUACUGGGCGUAAAGCGCACGCAGGCGGUUUGUUAAGUCAGAUGUGAAAUCCCCGCGCUUAACGUGGGAACUGCAUUUGAAACUGGCAGGCUAGGGUCUUGUAGAGGGGGGUAGAAUUCCAGGUGUAGCGGUGAAAUGCGUAGAGAUCUGGAGGAAUACCGGUGGCGAAGGCGGCCCCCUGGACAAAGACUGACGCUCAGGUGCGAAAGCGUGGGGAGCAAACAGGAUUAGAUACCCCGGUAGUCCAA
rnacentral:rRNA from 1 species